GACGAACCGAGCGAACGUUAUUCGGAAUCACUGGGCGUAAAGCGUGCGUAGGCGGUUCUCCAAGUCCGUUGUGAAAGCCCCGGGCUCAACCUGGGAAUGGCAGUGGAAACUAGGGGACUGGAAUCUGGCAGAGGGGGGUGGAAUGCCGCGUGUAGCAGUGAAAUGCGUAGAGAUGCGGCGGAACACCGAUGGCGAAGGCAGCCCCCUGGGCUGAGAUUGACGCUCAGGCACGAAAGCGUGGGGAGCAAACAGG
rnacentral:rRNA from 1 species